UACGGAGGGGGCUAGCGUUGUUCGGAAUUACUGGGCGUAAAGCGCACGUAGGCGGCUUUGUAAGUUAGAGGUGAAAGCCCAGGGCUCAACCCUGGAAUUGCCUUUAAGACUGCAUCGCUUGAAUCAUGGAGAGGUGAGUGGAAUUCCGAGUGUAGAGGUGAAAUUCGUAGAUAUUCGGAAGAACACCAGUGGCGAAGGCGACUCACUGGACAUGUAUUGACGCUGAGGUGCGAAAGCGUGGGGAGCAAACAGG
rnacentral:rRNA from 1 species